rnacentral:ncRNA from 2 species
CUCUUAUAACGAGUGGUAGAGGGACUGGCCCGAUGAAACCCGGCAACCUUUCAAGUUUUUUGAAAAGGUGCUAAAUCCUGCAAAGCAAUAUGCUUUGAAAGAUAAGAG